rnacentral:rRNA from 1 species
UACAGAGGUCUCGAGCGUUAGUCGGAUUCAUUGGGCUUAAAGCGUACGUAGGCGGAUAUGCAGGCGUCGUGUGAAAGCCCUCGGCUCAACCGAGGAAUUGCACGGCGAACCGCAUGUCUUGAGAUCGGUAGGGGCGGUCGGAACGAUAGGUGGAGUGGUGAAAUGCGUUGAUAUCUAUCGGAACGCCGAAGGUGAAAACAGGCCGCUGGGCCGAUUCUGACGCUGAGGUACGAAAGCGUGGGGAGCAAACGGGAUUAGAUACCCCGGUAGUCCACGCCGUAAACGAUGUGCACUAGAUCGAGGAGGAUCUGACUCCAUUCUCGGUCGAAGUAAAAACGUUGAGUGCACCGCCUGGGGAGUACGGUCGCAAGGCUAAA